AAGGAUAGGGCGUGUGGCAGCUGUGAGGGAAAGAGAAGCAGGUUACCAUGGGGGCGUGUGGGACAAAUCUCUAAUGUACCAGGAUCCUUGCUUGCUGGCAUGCACAUCAAUUAUUAGCCAAAAUUUAAUACUAAAGUGGGUGAAGUUUCUGCACAUGGUUGUUAGUCAGCUGUAAAUAUUGCAGCAUUUCAACCAAGUCUAUAGAGGCAAGUAAUUUGAUUGCCAGUAUGCUGUUUGUGGCUUUUAUGGCUGUCACAUUUUGGCCUGACAACAGUUUCCUACAUCAUUAUUGCCUAUAGGGUUCCUUCGCUU